AUUGAACGCUGGCGGAAUGCUUUACACAUGCAAGUCGAACGGCAGCACGGACUUCGGUCUGGUGGCGAGUGGCGAACGGGUGAGUAAUGUAUCGGAACGUGCCCAGUCGUGGGGGAUAACGUAGUGAAAAUUACGCUAAUACCGCAUACGAUCUAUGGAUGAAAGCGGGGGAUCGCAAGACCUCGCGCGAUCGGAGCGGCCGAUAUCAGAUUAGGUAGUUGGCGGGGUAAAGGCCCACCAAGCCAACGAUCUGUAGCUGGUCUGAGAGGACGACCAGCCACACUGGAACUGAGACACGGUCCAGACUCCUACGGGAGGCAGCAGUGGGGAAUUUUGGACAAUGGGCGAAAGCCUGGUCCAGCCAUUCCGCGUGCAGGAUGAAGGCCCUCGGGUUGUAAACUGCUUUUGUACAGAACGAAAAGGUUUCUACUAAUACUAGGAGCUCAUGACGGUACUGUAAGAAUAAGCACCGGCUAACUACGUGCCAGCCGCCGCCGUAA
rnacentral:rRNA from 1 species